rnacentral:rRNA from 2 species
CCGUCGCUACUACCGAUUGAAUGGUUUAGCAAGGUCAUCGGAUUGGCACAACUGUGGUUGCUUGUCAGCCUUGUUGCACUGAAAAGACGACCGAGCUUGAUCAUUUAGAGGAAGUAAAAGUCGUAACAAGGUUUCCGUAGGUGAACCUUCGGAAGGAUCAU